rnacentral:tRNA from 1 species
GCCGGUAUGGUGAAAUUGGUAUACACGACGGAUUCAAAAUCCGUUGCCUUCGGGCGUGGCGGUUCAAGCCUGCCAACAGGUACCA